CAUGGCAGGGAUCGACACCGGUCAGCGCGUUGCGCCCACCGGUGCAAUUCUG
rnacentral:sRNA from 1 species